AACGAACGCUGGCGGCGUGCCUAACACAUGCAAGUCGAACGCGAACGGUGCUUUCGGGUGCCUAGUAGAGUGGCGCACGGGUGAGUAACACGUAGACAACCUGCCUUCGAGCCUGGAAUAACCUUUCGAAAGAAGGGCUAAUACCGGAUAACAUCCUGAGUUGCAUGACUUGGGAUUGAAAGGCUUGCUACUCGAAGAGGGGUCUGCGGGACAUUAGCUAGUUGGUGGGGUAACGGCCUACCAAGGCGACGAUGUCUAGCGGGUCUGAGA
rnacentral:rRNA from 1 species